rfam:Physcomitrella patens subsp. patens PHYPAscaffold_202 genomic scaffold, whole genome shotgun sequence.
AACUCUCAGCAACGGUUAUCUUGGCUCUUGCAACGAUGAAGAACGCAGCAAAAUGCGAUACGUAGUGUGAAUUGCAGAAUUCCGUGAAUCAUCGAGUUUUUGAACGCAAGUUGCGCCCGAGGCUCGUCCGAGGGCAUUCCUGCCAGAGCGUCA